rnacentral:tRNA from 1 species
UGAGUUGUAAGUUAAUUAAACUAUUGGCUUUCAAUUCCGAAAAUGAUUGUUUCCAACUUUA